CAUACCCAUAUCGGGUAGUGGACGGAUGGGUCGCCGAUAAACUUUCGAUAAUCGUUUCAAUUAGCGACAAAAAAGGGAAGAAAUUAAAGAGUGCACACGGCGUCACACGGAGCACGCGUGAGCGGCCGCCAUAGGUCGCCGAAGUUUUUCAUUGUACGCAGUCGGCGGGCACAGCGGCUGGCAGUUGCAGUUUCACUGUCGCCCGCCUGCACGGAAAGCAAACAAAAGCUGUGGCUGCAGACACUGUGCCGUGUCUGGGUCGUCCGGGUGAUGUGAGAUUUCGGCGGAGACGCGUCGGCACACAGAUCGUGACGACCGGAAUCACAUCAUUCUCUGCCCCUUCAUACCUGUGGUCCACGAUUGGGAAGGGGUUCAAUCAUUCGCGGUGCGCUGCAGUGCUGGCGCGGUUUGCCUACUGAUGACCAUUUGGUGCGUCAACUAAUGGGCGAACGCAUGCGUCGAUGGGCAUCGUGCUGGAUCGCAAAGGGCGCAUCCAGGAAGAGGAUUCUCAAUAUCUGAUUGUUCUUCAAAUUGACCCGCGUGUUCGGUUAACCGAUCGAUCGAUCGUUGAAAGUGUACGUUGCCACCCAGACCUGUGACCAUCUCUGAGACUUCUAAACGGCCACCAGAGUGUGUGCGAUCCCCGAAGAUGAACACACAAAUCUUACACGUGCAGCUCAUUUAUGUGACCGGCCGGCGAAGACGUCCACCAAUAAUCCAUAGAGUUCGAGCAGUAAGUGAAUGCACCGUUCUCCAUUAGCGUACGAAUACGAUGCGGCAAAAGAUGCACUGAUGCAGAUGAAGAUUGUUGUAUAACAAAUAGUAAUUAAAUUAAUUAGUUAUUAAAUUAUACCCUUCGCGUGCCUCCACGAUGGAGUACGCAGGAUGGCGAUUAGGCGCGUCUCAAGGAAGGAAGCAAGGAGUGGGCAUCAUUUGUUGCACUCGAACUGAAACCCGACUGUGAAUUACUCGCUCACCAAGCGCGAUGCAGUAGAAACAGCCGCGACCAACGUCAACCAGUGGUCGAUCGUAACAGCACCGUGGAAACGCAUAGAACCAUAAAAACGUUCCACACCCCCCGAGUGGGUGGACACGCGGGAAAAGAAAUGAGUUUUUCAUUCGUUAUUAAUUUAGUGGAAGAUCUACAGACGCGUACACGUUCAAUGUUACAAGACACAUCGCCCGGUGGUACGGGCAUCGAUUAGGCGAACCGUCAUUACGCCGGGAACUACAGCUUUAAACGCAUGCGCAAGAAGUGUAGCAUCAUCAUCGGUCAUCAAUGGAGCGAUGUGAGGUGCAAUGCUUGGUGGAAGUAUAAUCAGCUGUACAGUAAGCGGGCCCAGUCAGUCAGUCAGUCAGUCAGUCAGUAAGUUAGCCAGCCAAUCCAGUUAAGGUUCUGCGCUGGGGGUUCGUCCCCUAAUUGGAUUAAUAAUAGAGCCCUCGGGGCGUAUGCCGAUGCCUGCCCAGUGUUCUAAUUAUUUUAAUUUUCAAUUGUUUGACUCUUUUUUUUGCCCCGCUACCGUCGCGUUACCGUACCAGCUAGCUUCAGCUCAAUUGAUUGUGCUUUGUGAGUCGUGUAAAGUGGGAUACAUCCAUAGCUUUCCACCGUGUGCUGUGAUUGAUUCGGGAAUAGUAGCGGGAGCUGGGUUUUGGAUCUAAUAAGUUGUAUACAUGUAACAAUAAGCGCUACUGUUGUUGCGGGAUCAGCCGAACACAGGGACGCUGGAGUUCGAUAGUGGCCUGAAGCUGAAAGUGUGCCAUCGAAGCGACUGCUGCAUUCCGAUCGUUCGCAUAUGAUCCGUGGACGCUGGUUUUCGGAGGAGGUCGGUAAAUGAAGCAAUAAAAUGGUUAUUAAUGUUGUUCAUCACAAAAGCUACCGUCCGUUCAAUACAAAAUCAAAGCCCGAUUUCUAGCAUUGAUCAUACGGCGAAGAAACUAUUGUGCCGUACAUAUCGAAAGGAUCUCGUGACGGAACCAGCAGUGAAAGUCGCCUCUUCGCCGGAAUGUCUUUCAUUUUCCGAUUCCCACAGCCAGCAAUAGGGCGUUCGAGCGGUGGGAUGAGAUUUUCGCACAAAGGAAUAUUAAAUUCUCGAUUGGACAAAA